rnacentral:rRNA from 1 species
AUUGAACGCUGGCGGCAUGCCUUACACAUGCAAGUCGAACGGUAACAGGUCUUCGGAUGCUGACGAGUGGCGAACGGGUGAGUAAUACAUCGGAACGUGCCCGAUCGUGGGGGAUAACGAAGCGAAAGCUUUGCUAAUACCGCAUAAGAUCUACGGAUGAAAGCAGGGGACCGCAAGGCCUUGCGCGAACGGAGCGGCCGGUGGCAGAUUAGGUAGUUGGUGGGAUAAAAGCUUACCAAGGCGACGAUCUGUAGCUGGUCUGAGAGGACGACCAGCCACACUGGGACUGAGACACGGCCCAGACUCCUACGGGAGGCAGCAGUGGGGAAUUUUGGACAAUGGGCGAAAGCCUGAUCCAGCCAUGCCGCGUGCAGGAUGAAGGCCUUCGGGUUGUAAACUGCUUUUGUACGGAACGAAAAGACUCUUUCUAAUAAAGAGGGUCCAUGACGGUACCGUAAGAAUAAGCACCGGCUAACUACGUGCCAGCCGCCGCCGUAAAAC